UGACACGUUUUUCUGGCGGACGAGUUGC
rnacentral:sRNA from 1 species